GUUUGAUUUUCUCCUUCCUUUAUAUAACUCCAAUCUCAUUAUUCAAGCUUGUCUCAAUUCCUAAAUGGGUUUAAUGAAUUUUUUGAAGUUGGUACUGGUUUUCCAUCUUGAGGUUAAGAGUCCUUACAAAUUUUUGUAUAUUUCCGGUAAAAUUGAAGUUUUUUCAUGGGUUAACAUGAACAUCUGAUCUGGUAACUUAGGUUUGGCUUGAAGUUCAUGGUUGUUGUUUGUCGAUUAGGUAUCAAUGAUGUUUUCUUCUCUGGACAACUUUUAUUUUGAUAGUUUGAGAGUUUGACGUUGUGGUUGAGGAUUAAUUUUAAGGUGGCCUCUUCUUUUUCGGUUUGAAGUUCAUGACGGUUGUUUGUCGACUAGGUGUAUGAUUUUGUGCAACUUUUUAUUUUGAUCCUUGAGUUUGAAGUUCUGGUUGAGGAUUAGUUUUAAGGUGGUCUUGGUGCCAUUUGAGCGGAUGCAUUAUCUGUGAGUGUUUGGUUGGACAAAUUAUGAGAAUGCUGAAUAAUAUAGUAAUGGAGUUGAAUCUGAUUAAACAUGUGAAAUAAGUGAAAAUAAUCCAUUUCCAUUUGGUUUUUGGUAAAGAAAGAAAUGUAAAUAAUUAAGGAGACAUCCAUUCAUAAUUUCAUAAGCAGAUAUCUAUAGGCUGAUCUCAUAACUUGCA
rnacentral:misc_RNA from 1 species